rnacentral:rRNA from 1 species
UACGUAGGGAGCAAGCGUUGUCCGGAAUCAUUGGGCGUAAAGCGCGCGUAGGUGGCCCCGUAAGUCCGCUGUGAAAGUCAAAGGCUCAACCUUUGAAAGCCGGUGGAUACUGUGGGACUAGAGUACGGAAGAGGCGAGUGGAAUUCCUGGUGUAGCGGUGAAAUGCGCAGAUAUCAGGAGGAACACCGGUGGCGAAGGCGGGUCUCUGGGCCGAUACUGACGCUGAGGAGCGAAAGCGUGGGGAGCGAACAGG